ACCUGUACAUUCUUCUAGCCUCUUAGUAGAAUCCAAGCAAGUAUAUUUCCAUGUUGCCAGUGCAAGCACCAAGGUCUCAGUUUGCAUCUUCCAUCAAUACAUAAAACUGGGCUCUCUAUCUUCGAGUUGUACAUUCUUUUAGCCAUCCAUGCACAUCUGGCGCACAAGGCUUGUGUGAUAUCUUUCUGUACAUAAAUCAGUUCGACGGCUUGUAUGCUCUUCUAGCCUCUUAGAAUCCAAGCAAGUUUCCAAGUUGCCAAUGGAAGCAUCCAGCUAUCGGUUUGCAUCUUCCAUCCUGUACAUAGAUCUGCUUUGCCUUGGAGUUGUAAUUCUCUUCAUUCACACAGUGGUCGUAUCAUUGAUUGAGUGGCGUCCUCCAUCCUGUAUACAUGACUGGCCGGCACACGACAUGUAGUAACUCAACUUGUGGCAAGACAGGCGUAACUCAACUUGUGGGUAAA